GAUGAACGCUGGCGGCGUGCCUAAUACAUGCAAGUCGAGCGAACAGAUAAGGAGCUUGCUCCUUUGACGUUAGCGGCGGACGGGUGAGUAACACGUGGGUAACCUACCUAUAAGACUGGGAUAACUUCGGGAAACCGGAGCUAAUACCGGAUAACAUUUGGAACCGCAUGGUUCUAAAGUGAAAGAUGGUUUUGCUAUCACUUAUAGAUGGACCCGCGCCGUAUUAGCUAGUUGGUAAGGUAACGGCUUACCAAGGCGACGAUACGUAGCCGACCUGAGAGGGUGAUAGGCCACACUGGAACUGAGACACGGACCAGACGCCUAAGGGAGGCAGCAGUAGGGAAUCUUCCGCAAUAGGCGAAAGCCUGACGGAGCAACGCCGCGUGAGUGAUGAAGGGGUUCGGCUCGUAAAACUCUGUUAUUAGGGAAGAACAAAUGUGUAAGUAACUGUGCACGUCUUGACGGUACCUAAUCAGAAAGCCACGGCUAACUACGUG
rnacentral:rRNA from 1 species